CAUGGCAUGGUAGUAACACAACAACAUGUUAGCAGCACAAAACAUGGUACAAACAUUAUUGGGUACAGACUACAGCACAAGGGGCUGAAGGUAGAGGCAACAAUACAUCGCGCAAAUCAAACACAACUUUCAGCUGAGAAUCCGUCUCUGAAAGCAGAGGUCAGGGAGGGCCUCACUCUGGUGGGUUAUAACAACCCUGUUAAAGGCCUGGGCAUCAGGGUUCGACGGAGGGCGAAUCAGGUGCCAUCCCGUGCUUCAUGCUGGGUGUGUUCCAGAUCGCUCUAAAUGAUUGUGAGGAGCUCUACAGGAGCUGGGUUCUGACGCCUUCAAGCAGAACGUCAUCGUUGGCACCAUCAAGAUGGGCUGGAGCCAUUUCUUCUGCGACUCGCAGACCUUGGAGCAAAUCCUCAAAGAGAAAAUGGGCUCUGAUGGUGGAAACAUCAAGAAACUCCAAAUGCCCAAAGUUAAGCUUUGUCACAUGGCAUGACUCAUUACACUCUCUGGAGUGUGGCGCUGAUGAUCACACACAUACUGUCCACCUUGCCAUCCAUGAGAGGGUGUGAGGAAGGAAGGCCCUCACGAUCUCUUAAAGGUCCUAGUAGUCAUGUUUAAUUCAAUAUCAAAUCAUUUCUGGGUAACAAUUGAGUACCUAACUGUGAUUUGUUUUCAAUUAUGGUCAAAAAUAAACAAAAAUAGAUAUUUAGUGAAGGGCAAUUUCUCAAGCAAGAAUUUUGCUAGGACUGCUUGGGAGUGGUCUGAGCAGAGAGGGGGAAACUGAAAAUGUGCUUUUAUUGGCAGAGCGAUUUGGAACUCCCUUUCUUAGUGUUUUUACACGUAGUCCCUUUCAGCAAAAUGUUUGUGAACUCAGUGCAGUUUGUAGAAUUUGUUUGUGCAGUGUGAACACUCCAAAGGAACUCAAACCCCUCAAAAGAGCCCCCGAAACUAACGGAACUUAGAGCCAUCUCGAGAGGGGGUCUGAGUUUGGGUUCCCUUUAAUAGGACAAUGUGGACAUAAAGCUCACCAGGUUCCCUUGUCAUUAUUCCCGCUCCACACCAAGAUUACUGCAAACAUUGUUUCCCCUGGCAUAAGCCCUCACAUUGGUGCCAAAAGAGAGAGAAGAUGAUGAUGAUGAUGAUGUACAGGUUCAAGCAAAACACGUGUGCCGUUUUUUGAUGUUGAUUAACGAUUGUCAAGGAUGCUUAGAAAUUCCAGAAUAUGUGUAUUUUAGUAUAUUUUAGUUCAAAUGAUUUGUUUUCAAUAUGUGAUCUGUAGGCUAAGAGAGCUUCUCAAGCUGUUUAGUCGAUUGUGGGGUUUGAAUAGUGUGAAAAGACAACAUAUUUGGUGAGAAUCACACCAAAAUCUAUUUUAGCUCUUAAAGGGGCAGUAGCCUACAUUGAGUGUACAAUUUUUUAAGUAUAACAUUAUGUAAUCUGCAGUUAUUCUUCUGCUAUUUAGUUACCAAUCAUUUUUGUCUUUGUCUUAUAUUUGAACUAAAUGCAAUCUAUUGCCUCCCAAAAUAUAAGUAGGUGUAUCUAGCUGUCUGAUAACGCAUUCUGAUGGAAUGGCUUGUCCAGCACAUUGUAAAAUCCCAGAGUGCAUUGAGUGAAAAAAUAAAUGUUUCUCCUUUCUAAACAUAUCAAUGUGAAUUCAAAGAGGACUCGGAUCACAGAAUAGUUAGUGAACUGACAAAAGAGUUGAGUCCUCAUUAAGGGAAGGGUGCAUUGAGAAUACAAAGGUACAGUAACUGAGUUAUUUAGCUAUUUUUUUUUCUA